UUUGAAGGGCUACACGGUUGUAUAUGUGUGAGUGUUAGUCAGGCGACUCGGAUGUCAUUGGCUUAAUACCACAUACCAUUAUAACAUGUAUAGGGAUUAACUUUCUUCAGUCCUAGGUGUGAUCUAUUUACGUGGCACAUCACAACAAGCAGCAUGGACAUUGGUAUUCACCCCUGUCUUUUGAUUAUAAUCACAGUAUUUUGCUCGCACUGUGAAAGUCUAUGUAUUCCGAUAUGUCAAGGGAAUUUCGUUUGUUCUGGUAAUACUUGCGUCUGUGAUACUGGAUACUACGGUGUUAACUGUACAGACACCUGUGAAGAUAGUGGUGGAGCGAGCUGCCAAAAUGGAGGAACAUGUGGGUCUACAUCUCCGAAAUCUUGUUCCUGUGUAUCGGGCUAUACUGGAACCCUUUGUGAGACAGAAAGUAACGUAGUGAAUCCGCCGGUACGAAAACACCCAUGUAAUUGAAAUGCUCAACAACAACUACUACUACCGCCGCUUCCUCUACCAGUGUUCAAAUGUCGCCAAACAAUACCGGGACUAUUUCAAAGUGUUUUUUAAAUCCACUUAGUUCUUUCAUAAUGUUUGUGUUAUUGUACAAAAUACUUAUAUAUCAGACUCCUAAUUUUGUGUAAGAUGCAUACUCGGAAGUUAACUUAUCAGCAAUACUCUCGUUAUAUUCAAAUCAACGUUGUAUUAUUUAUUUUUUGAAUUUAUGUUAUUUCUAUAAAUCUAAAAUCAAGAAAUCGUAAUAUCGAAUACUGUUUAUUUUCUUUGUCUGCUUCAAUUUUAGAAGAUAUUGUUUGCUUAUUUAUAAACACGAAUACAUCGAUAUACAAUGUACCUGAAUUGUCAUUAUAUAUGUUUUCCUUAAUAGUAUCUUUGUAUUUUUCACUAUAUCUUUUUUUCGUUCUUCUGUAUAUGUUGGAUCAUUUUCAUGCCAUUUUUCUUGCAUACUAAUUGAAUGAUAUAUAAUGUAAAGACCAUAAUAAAGGAAUAACUUUUAGUUCACUAUUUUGAUUGAAAGAAAUCUAUUUACUCUUAAUGUACAUUUUGGCGGUAGAAUUAUGUAAGCGCACUUUGGAAUGAAAACAUAACGCUUAAUCAUGAUAACGGUAAUAGCGGUUUCUAUAUACAUGUAUAAUGGUUACGAUAGCGUUUUGAAUAAGCCAUCUCAUCGUGGAAAUCUGUAUGAGUUCGAUUAUGCGCGGAAAUUCGAGCGCUAAAAGAUAAAUAGAUCACAGUACCGCCAACUGCAUUAUCAAAACACAUUGCAAAUCAUCAUACUAUGUCAUGGAAAGACGUAAGUACAGAACAUGCGCAUCUUCAAAUAUUUAACAGAAACAGCAUGGAAACGCCAUUAAACCGACUAUAAUUGAACACAAUGUAUGGCACGUGAAAAAAGCUCAAUAUUAUUGUAUAUUUACAGAAGACAUUAACUUCUUAUGCAUUCAGCCAAUGAUCCUAAUCAAUAUUGUAAAAGCGAAAGUAAAGCUUUAGUUUAUUAUUCAAUUACUAAUUACCACCUACACAACUCCGCCUGUAUCGUCUCAACUACAGUCAGUGUUAAUUACUGGUAUACUACCUACAUGACCCCACCUAUUGCUAGGUUUCGUCACACCGACUAUUGUCAGUGUUCUGUCCCAGUAAGUUACUGGUAUUCGCCUACAUGACUCCGCCUUUUGCUAGGUUUCGUCUCACCGACUAUUCUCAGUGUUCUGUCGGAAUAAGUUACUGGUAUUCGUCACAUGACUCCGCCUUUCGCUAGACAAUAGUCAGUGGUCUAGCGGUUUUAGUUUCUGUAUGAGCUUUGACAAUAGAAUAUAUGUGCGUGAAGAUCAUAAUGAAAACUUGCAACUAUUGAGUUACAUUUAUAGUAUCCGGCCUACGUAUGGAAUAACUUGAUGAAAUUGUGUUUUGUGUAUUAAAAUCUCGUAUUUCAACUUUCA